UCCGAAAAAUGCUGUUCGGAUGGAAUCGGUGUCGACGUCCACAUAGGUUUCAGAAUAAUAAGAGCGGAGAAGGGGGGUGUUUUGGGUAACGUGGACGGGUCGGCCUUUGGGAUCAACGCGCCCAGCCGCCCAAUCUGACCUCCACGUGGGAUUCCAUGUAUCGACAACUCACCCAUCGACUUCCGAGUUUGGUUCGCCAUCUGCGUCGCUCCGGGCUGGACUUUGGAACGCGUCGCCGUCGGACGCAGCCGCCGCGAGCGGAUCAGCCAUCAACGUGCCCCCUCUCGAGGCGGCGCGUCAACCCAGCUGGCCUCACUCGCACCGUUCACUCCCGUUUGACCGACCAAUCGCCCGGCUAAGCACGUCAAACUUGGGUUCCAGAUAAACCCAUUUGCCACCAGUGUUGGAGAUAUUUAACAUGAGGGAAACAUGUUGCGCCCUCAGCGAAAUUUCCAUUUUGUAUUGUUCGUUCAUGAAUCUGCAAGCGAUCAGGGACAUAAAUCUUCGUGAACCGGCCGCCAACAGUUGAUGGAUCAUUUGUAUAUAUCUCCUGCUCGCAGGGUCCGUGCUGGUGCAUGAACUUUCGAAAGUUCCCUUGGGCAGGGGGAUGUUCUUGCAAACCCGCGGCAGCAGCACCAUGUAAUUCGAUGCCAGAUUUCCAUUGUUUCCCAUCGUCCCAGCUGAUGUGGUAACAUGCUUCUCCAUGAAUCGUACUGUUCUCAUUUGUUUUGUUAUUUAAGAUUAGCUUAGUACCUUCUUUUCUAAUCCAUAGAUACAUUCUUUAACCGCUAAUUGUUGUCAUGGAUUCAUGUCACAGCAAUUGCGACGAGCACUGGCUCAUUAAUCUUGUAGUUUAUAUAGAAUGUGUUACUGUUUCUUAUAUGUAUAUGUUUUCCAAGUACCAAUAACGUUGAAGUACGUACGUACAUUGAUGGGAGUGUUGAGAACCUUAAAUUAUUAUCCUGUUUUGCUUUUUCGGUCUUCAACAAAACCUACCUAUCAAAAGAUAAAAAUUCACUAGUAGGAUAUCAUAAAAUAUUUUUUGUUGCACCCAAUGUAUUUUGCAUAGACUUUACAUAGAUGUAGCAUAUAUAGUAUAUCUGAUGGCGUUUGUUCAAUAUAAAGUAAAUUUUCCAUUAAACUUCUGUAGAGAUUGCAACUCUAUUUUAGAUUUUGCUUCACUAUCGUUCAUUCAUAUCUACACCUAUUUUAGAUUUUGUAGAUGAUUGCAACUCUCCAUGUUAAACUUUUGGAUGCAAAUCAUUUAUAUCUUUUUUGACAAAUAAAAUUCUACUUUCAACUUAUUUCACUUCAAUAUCGACAAAAUUCUAUUAUCAUGCUCUAGGAACUUAUAAAUUCUAUUAGUUUCACAAAAGAUUCUAAAAUUUCUAGAAAGAAAUUUGUCCCUCGAUCAAUACACAGCAUUUUAAUUUUGUAAUCGGUAUUUGUCUCCACCAUUUUUUAUUUUUUAAAAAAAUAAAUUUUUUUUUGUUUUUACACAAACCGUAAAACAAUAGUUUUCAUUAAGAGAAGAGUUUUGUGUUGGCUCAUAAAUUUCUGUAUGCACCAAACUUAAUGGUUCUUUUGCUUAAUAAUUACUAUGUUUUGGAAAAGAAUCUCUAUGCUAUUUUUCUCUUACGUAAAUUUCACAAACAGUCAUUAUUUUGAAUUAAGAUAAUUUAUAUACCAUAUUUUAUUUUAUAGUAGAUCAAGACCUUUGAAACAUGAAUGUUCAUAUCUAUAAUAUUAUAGCCAAUUUUCAUUAAAAAAAAAGAGAUUCUUGAAGUACUCAAAAUUUUCUGUCAUAUGACUACUAUAAUCAUUAUCCACAUGUCAAACACUUUUAGAUGAAUCAUUAAUAGACUAACAUGUAAAAUAGUAAGUUUUCCUUUUUUUUUUUUCCUCCUCCCACAAAAAUAGUUUGUUGAUGCUACCAUUUUAAAUACUAAAAUUUUUCAGUGUCAUAAUACUUGUAACAAUGUUACUAAAUAUUUUUUUUAAAAAAAGUUUGAUUAUUACCUUUAGUGUUUCUAUGAUUAUGAUUAUCAGAUUCCUAAUUGCUUUGAUUGUCUGAUCUACCUCUUGACCAUGAUCAUAACCUCAUCUUUGGCCGAAAUUUUGUUUGCUUGGUUUUUUUGCAACACUACUUAUUUUUCAUUAUCCUUAGAAAUAUUUAAUUUAUAGACAUUAUCAAUAUUACAAGUUCUAUUCAAUCUAUCUAUGUGAUUGUAAUGAACCAAACAAUUCACUAACGUGUAAUUCAGAUAGAUCCAUUAAUUCUUGAACAACAGUAAAUACUUAUUCAUAUUUAUUUGAGAGGCUUCUUAAAAAAAUUUCAACAACUUUUUGAUUAGAAAUUAAUUCACCAUAUUAUCUCGUCUGAUUAAUUAUUUCUGUAACUCUUGAAAAAAAAAAAAAGCUUUCAUUGUUUCACUUUCAUUCAUAAAUAAAUUUUUAAAAUUUCUUCGAGGAGUUUGAAACUUAACCAUUAAUAUCUUAAUGAUGUUACAGUACUCUUACUCCAAGAUCUCCCAAAUCUUGUUAGAAUUUAUUAUAACAAGAUUUGGGAGAUCUUGGAGUAAGAGUACCUCCUCGAAGAAAUUUUAAAAAUUUAUUUAUGAAUAAAAGCGAAACAAUGAAGGAAAUAUAAUCUCAUCAACUACCCGUUGAAGGAAACAAUAAAGAUUCAGAGAAAUAUAAUCUCAUCAACUACCCGUUGAAGGAAAUAGAGGACAAGUCUCGUUAGAAUUUAUUAUAUUAAAAUAUUUAAAAAAAUAUAAUCUCAUCAACUAUCUAUUGAAGAGAAUAGAGGACAAGUCUUGUUAGAAUUUAUUAUAGUAAAAGAUUCAGAAAAAUAUAAUCUCAUCAACUACUCAUUGAAGGUAAUAGAGGACAAGUCUCAUUAGAAUUUAUUAUAGCAAAAUAUUCAAAGAAAUAUAAUCUCAUCAACUACCCUGAAUGGAAUAGAGGACAAGUCUAGUUAGAAUUUAUUAUAGCAAAAGAUUCAGAGAAAUAUAAUCUCAUCAACUACUCGGGAAUAUAGGACAAGUAGAUCUUUUCUUUGAUUUUCUUUAGUAGUUCUAGCUAUAUUAUAACAUUUUUCAACAGUCUCUCAUAAAUCUUAUCAUUAUCAAAUAAUUAUCUCCUUUGAAAAUUGGAUCUAUUAAUGACAAAGAUUCCAUGGUGUACUACUUCUUGCCAUCAAAGAAAGAAAGAAAAAAAAGACUUAGAUAUCACUUUGUUGAGAAUGAGAUAAAAACAAAGCACCAAUAAAAAAAUCAAAAUAAUUUAAAACAUAAAAUACUUCUUUAAAGAAACCUAAUUACAAUCCCUCUACCGGUAUUAUGCAACCCCUCUCCUUCUGCUCAUUUGAUGCGACUUAGUGUUCUCAGAGACGAAGAGUCUGAAUAUAUCAGGAUCUAUCUAAAUCUAAGAGUUUAAAAAAUAAGAUCACACACUUAACUUUUAUAGUCUAGAAACAUAAUGUUUUAAUAUAUUAGGAUUUAUCUAAAUUAGACAGCAUAGACCAAUAAACUAUUGUCUAAAGAACCUCAAAUUAAUUAAAUCAUUAGCAGCACAAGGGGGAUUCGCAAGCUGACGAGAAGUUUCAGUGGCAAGUAGCAGUCAAUCUUCAAUAGCAAAACUCUCAUUCAAGACAGACACCUGAUGUGGCCUCAAACCUCAACAUGUACUCGAACUGAUCGGUCAUUGCCACCAUAUAAAUUUAGCUGAAAUCCUUGGUCUUCAAAAUAUCAAGAGAAUUCACCAAGAGAUUGUUGAGUUGUUGGGACUCUCAGAAUUACAAGGUGAAGUAAUUAUGAGUGAUGGAAUUGCCUGGAGGAAGCAUGCCAUGGCUGAUUCCUUUUGUGGACCAAGCUGCUCAAAGCUUUUAGUGUCACGGCCGGCAGUGGCAUUGCAAUCGAAGCUACGGCCAUGAUGUUAAUGCAUGUGCUGCUGCUUCUGAACUCAUGUCAGUGCUACAUACGGAGAUGAUACUUUCGACGGUCAGCUCGAAAGGUUGGAGUUCCAUUCCCUUGUAUGCUUCCUAACUUCUUCCAUGGUAUGUAAAUUUGCAUCACCGAAGCCAUAAACAAUUGUACGUCAUGCAAAUGGAAGCACAGCUGUGGCAUCCUUGUUCUUGUCACAAUCUUUUUCUUUUGGCCCCAGAGCCGGCCAUCAUGAUCAUCAACCGGUCUCCAUGUCUUGCUUAAGAAAUGGUCGUCAGAUUGGAGAAGCAGAUGAGAGAUAGAACAGAAGGAUCAAAUAUUUCAGUGAGGGCACAGUGUCGGGAUAAGUAACUCUUACAUUACAGAGAAGGCUACGAGUCAAUUCUGUUCUAAUUAUAGCUCCAUAACUGUCCUUUAAAUGUAGUUUUGUUUAGGUCGUAUUUGGAGAGAAGUUGUUGUCUUGUGUUGCUUACUGGAAAAUACCUUCUGCCGCACUCUCUGCCCUGAGCUGAGCUUUAUUCAUUUCGCUCGGAAGUAAAAGCGUCAGGUUCGAGUUCUUUCU